CAAUAGCGUAUAUUUAAGUUGUUGCAGUUAAAAAGCUCGUAGUUGGAUUUCGGGUGGGUACCGCCGGUCUCCCAUUGGGUAUGUACUGGCGUGGCCCGCCUUGCUGUCGGGGACGGUCUCCUGGGCUUAAUUGCUCGGGAAUCGGAGUCGACGAUGUUACUUUGAGUAAAUUAGAGUGUUCAAAGCAAGCCUACGCUCUGAAUAUAAUAGCAUGGGAUAACACGACAGGACUCUGGCCUAUCGUGUUGGUCUGUAGGACCGGAGUAAUGAUUAAGAGGGACAGUCGGGGGCAUUCGUAUUCCGUUGUCAGAGGUGAAAUUCUUGGAUUUAUGAAAGACGAACUACUGCGAAAGCAUUUGCCAAGGAUGUUUUCAUUAA
rnacentral:rRNA from 1 species